AUAUACUGCCGUGAACUCUUCCCGUUUAAUGAUCUCAGCCGCCAUCAUGAACAGUUUUCCUCUCAAAAUACAAAUGUGUAGCAGACCAAAAUUUUUGUUUGUUUUUUACCAGUUUACCAGUUUGUUCUCAUAAAUUUCACAUGUGGACAAAAGUUACAAAGUCAUUAUCUUAUACAUUCAUAUUUGCUAUGGAGAAAGAAACUGUUUGAUACGUGUGUCUUAUGUCCUUUCCUAUAUGUUAUGUAAUGAAUGAAAAAUAUUAAUGAUGUCUCUUUAGGUGUGUUUUGGUUUUUGACAGCUUAAUAGCUAGUUAGUAUGGUAAAAGAAAUAAUAUAUAUUUUGUCAAUUAGACAAAAACCAGCAUAUUUGAAUUUUUUGUCCUUUGUAAAGGCCUGUGUUCACUCACUGUAUAUAUCGAUGUUUCUAAUCAAUCUAAUUUGGAGGAAGGGAUAAAAGAAUUAAAUCAUUCACAUCAUUAUUUUGUAAAAGGGUUAUAACAAGCAAAGAGCCCUUUAUUUUCAAAUAAGUGGUUGUUAGAAUUAAGCUUUUUUUUUCCUGGAAGCUCCAAGUGUCUGAGUUCAUGUUGCUCAAAUGCUGUCCGUGGUGCUGAGCACAGUAUAGAUUCCAUCAGUAUUUGUAGAAUGACUUACUGGUGUGUGUGUGUAGACCCAGCUCUCCUGACUGAUGGCACAGAGCAGAAUCCAGGCAGUUUGCGUCAGUGAUAGAUCUGAAGUCCUCCCUCGAUUACCUACACCAGCGUGCCCUCUAUUUCUGACCUUCAGCAUCCCCUUCAAGUCUUUGUCUCACUUGUACUACGUGUAAAUAUGAAAAAUAGUUUCCUUUAUAUCUGAUCAAUAUUUUUUAACCUUGGCCUCAUCCUGAGCAAGAGUAUUCAUGAAAGGAGGUGACAAUCUAAACAUGAUACCUGGUGUCCAAGGAGCUUACAGAGUAGUACACACUUUUGAUGUAAACUGCUUUGCAUGCAAGAUUUUAACACUUGCUAGCCUACCGUGUCAGUCUCCUAGAACAAGCGUCAGAUUUAGAGGAGAUUAAAGUCUCAACCUUCCCACUUAUCAACAUUCACUUAUUUGAGUUGAUUAACCUAUUGUAUUUGUCCAGUCUCUCUCUUAGUGACAAAAACCCAACUCAAGCUUAAGAAAAAAGGGGGAGAACUGUUGAGCUCUGGCAAUUUAUAAAAGACUGAGGUUUCUGGUCACAGUGAAGGGUGGACCCAGAGACUCAACGCCAUCAGAACUUGGACUCUGCACGUCAGACCAGCUUGUCUCUGUGCUGGUUUCGUUCUCAGCAGUCAUUUCUACAAUGUGGAAAGGAGGCUGCUGGCCAUCCCAAAGGCAGUGCGUGGAGGCAUGGUCUAACCUCCUCUGACUGGGAGCUCUUCUAACUCUUUUCCUAAGGGAGAAAGAAAUGAAGUCAAGUCUUUGUAGCAGUCAUUUAGAGAUCUAUUCUCUGAGAUCAGACAGACUACGUGGGACUGGAAGAUUUGAAGGUUCUUAUUUGGAGUUUGUUUUCAUUUAUCUUUUAAUGUUGAAUAUUCGUGUGCUCUAUCCUUAAAGUUAUUUGCCCUGAGCAAAAAAAGGGGGCGGGGAACAGUUUUAAAAGACUUUGUAUUAAAAGCACAAUUGACAAAGACUACAUAAACUGGACUUCAUUGAAAUAAAAGUUUCCAGAAGAAUUUUCUAGAAAUUGGAAACAAUCCAAAUGUCCGUCAACCUAUGAAUGGAUAAACAAAUCAGGUAUAUCCAUAAAAUGGAAUAAUAUUUUUCCAUAAAAAGGAAUGAAGUAUAGGAAUGUUACAAUUUGGAUGAGCCCUGAAAGCAUUAUACUGAGUGAUAGAAUCCAGUUACAAAGGCCACAUAUUGUAUGACUCCAUUUUAUAUAAAUAUCC
ensembl:lncRNA